GCCAUACCAAGCCGUGACAGGUCUCCAUUAGAACACAGACAGGAAUGAGGUUUUCUUAGGGCAAAACCUAAACAGGACUUGUUUCUUUGUUGUUGUUUUCAGGGAUUAAUACAAAAAAGAAAGAAGAAAGUGAAAUGGAUUCUGAGGGCGUUGCCCCCUACGCCUCCAUCAGUCACACCAAAAAGGCCAAAAAGACCAAGAAAAAGAACAGAGUUCCUGACACUGUGGCAUACAGCAACUUGAAUACUUCUGCUCAGGCUACCAUUGAUCUAAACAGCCUCUACUGUAACAUCGGUACAUAAAUGCCAUUAGAUGUUGUUUGAAAGUAAUGUUUUACCUUAAACAAGCAGUAUAAAAACGGCUGUCAUCUAGAAAUAUCUGACUGGUUACAGAUUGUUAUACACAGUUUCAUUAAAUUCAAUUCAAUUCGAUUCAGUUUUAUUUAUAUAGCGCCAAUUCACAACACAUGUUGUCUCAAGGCACUUCAUAAAAGUCACGUUCAUACAUUCCAAUUAAUCCUAACCA